rnacentral:rRNA from 1 species
UUAAUAAUUUAUAUAUAAUAUUUUAUUAAUAUUUAUAUAGUAUUAACAUAAUUCAUAUUACUAUUUUAUAGUAUAUGAAAUUUUACUUUGAGAAAAUUAGAGUGCUUAAAGCAGGCAUUAGCCUUGAAUACUCCAGCAUGGAAUAAUAUAAAAGAUUUUUAUCUUUUUUAUUGGUUCUAAGAUAAAAAUAAUGAUUAAUAGGGACAGUUGGGGGCAUUUGUAUUUAACAGUCAGAGGUGAAAUUCUUAGAUUUGUUAAAGACAAACUAGUGCGAAAGCAUUUGCCAAGGAUGUUUUCAUUAAUCAAGAACGAAAGUUAGGGGAUCGAAGACGAUCAGAUACCGUCGUAGUCUUAACCAUAAACUAUGCCAACUAGAGAUUGGAGGUUGUU